rnacentral:rRNA from 1 species
CCUACGGGUGGCUGCAGUGGGGAAUUUUGGACAAUGGGCGCAAGCCUGAUCCAGCAAUGCCGCGUGUGUGAUGAAGGCCUUCGGGUUGUAAAGCACUUUUGGUGGGAACGAAAAGGUCCGGGCCAAUACCCUGGACUAAUGACGGUACCUGCAGAAUAAGCACCGGCUAACUACGUGCCAGCAGCCGCGGUAAUACGUAGGGUACGAGCGUUAAUCGGAAUUACUGGGCGCGGAGUGGGCGCAGGCGGUUGAAAUCCCCGGGCUUAACCUGGGAACUGCAUUGGUGACUGCAAGGCUGGAGUGUGUCAGAGGGGGGUGGAAUUCCGCGUGUAGCAGUGAAAUGCGUAGAUAUGCGGAGGAACACCGAUGGCGAAGGCAGCCCCCUGGGAUAACACUGACGCUCAUGCACGAAAGCGUGGGGAGCAAACAGGAUUAGAUACCCCUGUAGUC